AGAAGAAGGAGCGCCGUCCUCCGUGUUUUCUCGGGUUUCUGUCCACGGAGCAGCAGCGGGAGAGUUAAUAAAGCUGUAAGACAGAAACAGCAGCAGUUGGUGAACUCUGGAAAGAAGAGAAACGGUUUGAGGCUCAGCUGGAACUGCUCAGUAACUGUUAAAGGAAAGUUUGGAGAGAGAAAAGCUAGCAGAGAUGUGGAGACAGCAGGUCAAACAGCGACUGGAUGCAGCAGAGGAGCAGGACGUGGAUUAUAAUCCGCUGGACCGGCUCCACAGAUUAGUGAGAGACCGGUGCUGUGAGAAGCCAGUACCUCCACCGUAACCAGACUGACCCGUUAACCUGUGGACCCACACACAGUGUGUGCUGCACCGACCGGGCCGCACCGCUCAGUGGAAACGAGGCAUCGCGCUUCACACCACGGGGGCCAAACUCCAGUCCCUCAGGGCCCUUUAACCCUUUAACCGCCGGUUGAUUGUCUCUGUUGCUGGUAGAAACUGGUCUGUUUUCAGUCCCUGCUUCUGCGUUGCCUCGGUAACUAGCCCCACCUGCUCAGGUAAGACCGAGUAAUGAGCUUCACAACAAACCGUUUCAAACCAAACAUUUAUUUUAUAACGAAGCCAAAAACAACAGCAGGUAUUGACAUGUUUACUUUAGCAGAAGUUUUAGUGACAGGCGUAAAUAAACCGUCACUAAAACACUGUGACCGACUCACCGCACCGUUCAGUUAUAGGCCUACAGGUCAACGCUGUGACCGACUCGCCACACCGUUCAGUUAAAGGCCUACAGGUCAACGCUGUGACCGACUCGCCACACCGUUCAGUUAAAGGCCUACAGGUCAACGCUGUGACCGACUCACCACACCGUUCAGUUAUAGGCCUACAGGUCAACACUGUGACCGACUCACCGCACCGUUCAGUUAUAGGCCUACAGGUCAACACUGUGACCGACUCGCCACACCGUUCAGUUAAAGGCCUACAGGUCAACGCUGUGACCCACUCACCGCACCGUUCAGUUAAAGGCCUACAGGUCAACGCUGUGACCGACUCACCACACCGUUCAGUUAUAGGCCUACAGGUCAACGCUGUGACCGACUCGCCACACCGUUCAGUUAAAGGCCUACAGGUCAACGCUGUGACCGACUCGCCACACCGUUCAGUUAUAGGCCUACAGGUCAACGCUGUGACCGACUCACCACACCGUUCAGUUAAAGGCCUACAGGUCAACGCUGUGACCGACUCGCCACACCGUUCAGUUAUAGGCCUACAGGUCAACGCUGUGACCGACUCGCCACACCGUUCAGUUAAAGGCCUACAGGUCAACGCUGUGGUCAGGGUGGAGAUACUGGCAUCACUCAACAGUCCAUUGAUUGGAGGACAGAAAUGUGUUUGACAGUAAGGUGUUUGGGUUUAACUCCACCGGCUCACUUCCCUCUGGAUGUGAAAAGACUCCUGAAUGUGAUCAGUCAUGAAACGGGUCACCGAACCGCAGCAACCCGGGCCGUACCGCCUUGAAUCAUCAUGGAGACACAAACAUGACGUCUGAGUCAAACAGAAAGUUUAACGUUUACAAGAUGAUUUCACAGGUGAGACUUUCAUCCUGUCAGCCACAAUCAUUAACAUUAAGAAAUAAAGGUUUGACAUAUUUCACUCAGGAUUCUCUCCUGAAGCCAUGUUGGGUUAAUCUGGAGGAAACGGUUCCAGGAUGAGCGAGUCUUCAUCCUGGAACAGCAGCAGGUGUGACUCUUUAGGAACGAGUCGCUCCACCAGGUCCCAGGUUUGGAACCACGAUCCUCAGACUGCAGGGAAAAAGUUGCAUAUGGGUUGAAUGAAUGUGACCUGAGAUCACCUCACCAUCCCCUCCUGAUGGAGGAGGAGGAACCCAUUCGUUCUGGGAGCCGAACCGGACCCACCUUCCUGAACUCGUCGAAGCAGAUGGCGUCGUCCCGGUCCAGGUCGGCCUCCUGGAUGGCGCGCUCUGCGAUGCUCUGCAGCUGCUCCUCCGUCACCUGCAGCCCCAGCAUCUCCCUCAGCACCUGCUGGAUGAAGCCAGGUCAGAACCGGAACCACGACUCUGUCCUGACGACAGAGACGCCGGAAAACGACGUUCCUGUUCCAGGACAGCAGCUGGUGAAGAUCAAAGUGGUUGUCAUGCCGACCUGCAGCAGCUCGGUUCUGGAGAUCUUCCCGUCUCGGUCCCGGUCGUACAGCUGGAAGGCAACUGAGGAGGGACAUUUCCUGAAUCAUGACUGCAUUUCUAGGAAGUUUCAGAGGAAAUGAGAAACCCAGACUGACAUUUGAGUUUCCGGUUCCGGCUGUCGGCCGGAUCCGGCUGCACGCCGUCUCGGGUCCGGUUUUUCUCCGUGGGACGGAAGUGAGCCAGAACCCGGACAAACGAGGGAAAGUCCACCGUUUCCUGUCUGCAGAGAGGAAGGAAGAAUAAAUGCUCCUGACUUCCUGUUUGGGCCGAUAACCGAGCAGAGAUCCGGUUCUGUACCCCGGCUGGAAAAAAGCUCCGACGAUUCGGACUCCAAUGGGAUUCUCAGACAGCGCCGCCUCCAAGUCCUCGGACCUGAGACCCAAACAGAACCGACCUGAGACCCAAACAGAACCGACAUGAGACCCAAACAGAACCGACCCUAGACCCAAACAGAACCGACCCUAGACCCAAACAGAACCGACCCGAGACCCAAACAGAACCGACAUGAGACCCAAACAGAACCGACCUGAGACCCAAACAGAACCGACAUGAGACCCAAACAGAACCGACCUGAGACCCAAACAGAACCGACCUGAGACCCAAACAGAACCGACCUGAGACCCAAACAGAACCGACUCGAGACCCAAACAGAACCGACCCGAGACCCAAACAGAACCGACCCGAGACCCAAACAGAACAGACCCGAGCAGCCGAGUUACUUUGGUCUUCUGUCAAAAACAUCAUCAGGAUUAAAGACAAUGUAAACUUAUUAAAAAUAAACUUAUAUAAUAAUAAUAAUCUGAUCCAAACA